rnacentral:lncRNA from 13 species
AUAGAAGUCCAGAGAGGGAAAGUGGACCUAAAGUCAUAAUUACAAAUCCCAAAGAAAAGUGUAGCAGGCCUAUAGGUUUGUGUCAAUGGUCGCUCUGAUCCUGGCCCCGAGACCUCAGCAACAAAAGGGUUAAUGGGUUGUUUCAUCCUCACGUGAACACAAUGGUCUUUGCUUCUCCUGCUUCUAUUCAAUCUGUCCCUGUUCCCUAUACUGUGAGCACAGAGUCAGCCAUCCCAAAGCCUGCGAUGGGGAUGGGCCUGGAGUUGCGGGGGCGGCCAGCCGCUGGCAGGGCCAACUGGAGGAUUCCUGGCCCGAAGCAGCUUGCAGAUGCUGGAAGAAAUGAGGAAAAUGUUCCGCGGAUCAGCUGAUUGGUAUUUAGAGCUCUCCAGAUCCAAAAGUCACAGCCUCUUGGCAGCCCAAAUGACUCCAAGAUGCUGCCAAUUUGCUUGGUCUUUGGGGCUGCAUGGAAGAGUUGGGAGUUCUCUAUCUUCUUGCUUUCUCUUUUUGCUUUCCUUUUUCAGCCUUUGAGGCUGCUUGGAGAAAGCUGGUAGCUUCCUCUCUCUCUCUCUCUCUCUCUCUCUCUAUAUAUAUAUAUAUAUAUAUAUAUAUAUAUAAUCCUCUGUUCUUUCCUUUCCAUCAUUUCUGUGCAAUGAGGAAAGCUCAGGUAGGAGGAAAUAGCUUUUUGUUUCUCUUUCAGCUUAGGGUACCCCACUCAGCCCUUGAGGUCUAUCCACACACUGUCACUGCAGAGAGACUCUGCGGCAUUGAGAAAGACUGCACUGCCUGGGUUUGGAUGCUUCAUACUGAUUGUGGCAGGCGGACUCUGAUGUGGCUCUCCAUGGUCCCACCUUCUGGCUGUAUCUUGGAGGACGUGACCAUGUCUGGGCAGUGGAGAAAAACAGACCCAGUUCACAGACAUGGAAACUGAGGAUCAGAGGGGAAUGCACUUUGCUCAAGAUCACCCAACGAAUCCAUGGCAGGGCUGGGAUUCCCGAGCCUGGAGCUCCUAACCUGCUUUCCCUGCUUUGUCACCAUCAGAAACAUCUGUGAAAUGGGCACAAUCAGAAGUGGCUGUGAACAAUCUGUGAACAAAGUCAUCACCCCCUAUCCAACAGAAGGAGAGACGUUUCUUUAAUAAUGAAUUAAAAGCCAGAAGGGGUGAAAAUGAAUGUUCAUCCAGCUCUUACUGUAUGCCAGGAUGGUUUUCAUGUCAAU